GCGCCGCUAGCUCAGCUGGAUAGAGCGUUGGUCUACGGAACCAAAGGCCAGGAGUUCGAAUCUCUUGCGGCGCGCCA
rnacentral:tRNA from 1 species